AUACGCAGGGUGCAAGCGUUACUCGGAAUCACUGGGCGUAAAGCGCGCGCAGGCGGGCUGAUAAGUUGGAUGUGAAAGCCUACGGCUCAACCGUAGAACUGCAUCCAAAACUGUCAGUCUAGAGUGUGGGAGAGGAAGAUGGAAUUAGUUGUGUAGGGGUAAAAUCCGUAGAGAUAACUAGGAAUACCAAAAGCGAAGGCGAUCUUCUGGAACAGUACUGGCGCUGAGGCGCGAAAGCGUGGGGAGCAAACAGGAUUAGAAACCCCUGUAGUCC
rnacentral:rRNA from 1 species